GUAGGGAAUAUUGGACAAUGGGGGCAACCCUGAUCCAGCGACGCCGCGUGAGUGAUGAAGGCCUUCGGGUCGUAAAGCUCUGUUGCAGGGGAAGAACACAAUGACGGUACCCUGCUAGAAAGGAUCGGCUAACUUCGUGCCAGCAGCCGCGGUAAGACGAGGGAUCCUAGCGUUGUUCGGAAUUAUUGGGCGUAAAGCGGGUGCAGGUGGCUUGGUAUGUCAGAUGUGAAAGACUGGGGCUUAACCCCAGAAGUGCAUUUGAUACUGCUGAGCUUGAGUGCUGGAGAGGCUAUUAGAAUUCCUGGUGUAGUGGUGAAAUACGUAGAUAUCAGGAGGAAUACCGGAGGCGAAGGCGGAUAGCUGGCCAGACACUGACACUCAGACCCGAAAGCGUGGGGAUCAAACAGGAUUAGAAACCCCUGUAGUCC
rnacentral:rRNA from 1 species